rnacentral:lncRNA from 1 species
AAACUUUGCCUUCGAUUAGCUGUAGUCUGAGGCCCUCUUGUUCAAUUCACAGACCUCAGGAGGAAAGUAAAAGCUGCCGCCAGGAACCUGUCAUUCUGGCCUCACUGAUUCCUAGGUUGGAUGUCAUCUACUGUCACUUAGAAAGAAGGCUCUCUGGGCUCAGCCUGCGGGGCGGGUCUGCAGCCCUGUGCAGUGGAGACAGCACUCGGGGAGAACCGUCCAAUCCCGGCACAGCCAGGGCUGCUUCCGCGUCUGGCCGUGCCCUUUCCUUCUGAGCCGCCCUUCUCGCGAUUUCGGCUUCCGUCGUCAGCCCUGGGGUCCCGCUGGCUUUGCCCUGCAGGUGCUGAAGAUCCCUGGUGGCCGCCUGGCUCCCGAGCGCCUGGAAAUGGAACUGUUGACAUUCAGGGAUAUGGGCCAUUGCUUUCUCUGAAGAGGAAUGGGAAUGUCUGGAGCCUGCUCAGAGGAAUUUAUACAGAGAUGUGAUGCUAGAGACCUACAGAAACCUGGUCUUCCUGGUUGAGCAGAGCCUCCCUCCAGAAUUCCUAAUUAAUCAGAAUUGCUAA